rnacentral:rRNA from 1 species
AUCAUGGCUCAGGAUAAACGCUGGCGGCGCACAUAAGACAUGCAAGUCGAACGGACUUAACCAUUAGUUUACUAUUGGAGCGGUUAGUGGCGGACUGGUGAGUAACACGUAAGCAACCUGCCUAUCAGAGGGGAACAACAGUUAGAAAUGACUGCUAAUACCGCAUAUGCCUAAGUACCACAUGGUACAAUAGGGAAAGGAGCAAUCUGCUGAUAGAUGGGCUUGCGUCUGAUUAGAUAGUUGGUGGGGUAACGGCUUACCAAGUCGGCGAUCAGUAGCCGGACUGAGAGGUUGAACGGCCACAUUGGGACUGAGAUACGGCCCAGACUCCUACGGGAGGCAGCAGUCGGGAAUAUUGCGCAAUGGAGGAAACUCUGACGCAGUGACGCCGCGUGCAGGAAGAAGGUUUUCGGAUUGUAAACUGCUUUAGACAGGGAAGAAACAAGACAGUACCUGUAGAAUAAGCUCCGGCUAACUACGUGCCAGCAGCCGCGGUAAUACGUAGGGAGCGAGCGUUAUCCGGAUUUAUUGGGUGUAAAGGGUGCGUAGACGGGAAGAUAAGUUAGUUGUGAAAUCCCUCGGCUUAACUGAGGAACUGCAACUAAAACUGUUUUUCUUGAGUACUGGAGAGGAAAGUGGAAUUCCUAGUGUAGCGGUGAAAUGCGUGGAUAUUAGGAGGAACACCAGUGGCGAAGGCGACUUUCUGGACAGAAACUGACGUUGAGGCACGAAAGUG